UUUAAACUUUAUGAGGAAGAGCCGAUAUGUGAUGAUGAUGAUUACUCAUGUUGUGUAACAAAAUCCACCAAAUAGGAACACAUGAUUAAAUCUCAAGAAAAUUGCGUUCCUCUAUGAGUCUUAUUGAAGCAUUUCGUCAGAAACCGCCUCUUGUGGAUGAGGUAGAACUAGAACCCAUGGAACAUUCACGGUUACUAGAUGAGACGGAAUCUUUAAAUAGCAAUCACUAUCAGAGUACAUUUAACGACCCAGAUGACGACGAUGAAUUGUUGGAUAUCAGUGAUGGAAAGUCCCGCCACUCAAAACGAGGAAUUAUUGACCUGACGCAAGGCAGCUCAUUGGUGGACACAUUUGAGCCUCUGGCACCAGGAAUCAAUGACAAAUAUGAAGACUUCUACACGAUAGAUUGGUUGCACGAUAAGAACCGGUACAUGCAACGACAAAAAAAGAUACGAAACAAACGUAAGCAAUCAUGUUGGGCUCGGUUCUGCGCAUCCAUUGAUGACGGUUCAGGAUGGCUCGUCGUUCUAUUGGUUGGUAUAGCUGCAGGCAGUUGUGCCGGUAUCAUAGAUAUAGGAACAGGAUGGAUGAGUGACCUCAAAAAUGGCGUAUGCCGUAAAGCCUUCUGGUUGAACACGGAACAGUGUUGCUGGGCGACAAACAAUACCGGCUUUGGUGAAAUAGACUGCCCUCAGUGGUACACGUGGGCGGAGAUACUUGGGAUUCAGGAACAGGGAACUGUUGCGUUUCUGAUCAACUAUUUGUUUUUUGUGAUCUUAGCUGUUACUAUGGCACUGAUGGCUGUAAUGCUUGUCAGGGUCUUUGCACCCUAUGCCUGUGGGUCUGGCAUCCCAGAGAUCAAAACUAUUUUAAGUGGAUUCAUAAUCCGAGGUUAUCUGGGCAAAUGGACUCUAAUCAUUAAGUCGAUGACAAUGAUGUUAGCUGUUGCGGCCGGACUAAGUUUGGGCAAGGAGGGGCCACUUGUUCACGUGGCAUGCUGCUGUGGAAACAUCUUUUCAUACAUGUUUCCAAAAUAUGGAAAUAAUGAGGCUAAAAAGAGAGAGGUGUUAUCAGCGGCUUCUGCCGCAGGUGUGUCCGUAGCAUUUGGUGCUCCAAUUGGUGGCGUCUUGUUUAGUUUGGAAGAGGUUAGCUACUAUUUCCCACUGAAGACGCUGUGGCGUUCUUUCUUCUGUGCUCUUGUUGCGGCUUUUGUACUCCGAGCAAUCAACCCGUUCAGUACCGAUCAUCUUGUCAUGUUUUACAUCGAUUACGAUAACCCGUGGUUCGUCUGGGAGCUCUUUCCAUUCAUUUUACUUGGCAUCUUUGGUGGUUUGUAUGGUGCUUUCUUCAAUUAUUUUAACUUAAAAUGGUGCAGAUAUCGUAAAACAUCUUCUCUGGGAAACUACGCUAUCACAGAGGUGAUUGUUCUGACAUUAAUUACAGCUGUCGUCAGCUUUCUUAAUCCAUACACAAAACAAAAUACGAGCGAGUUAAUCGCUAAGCUCUUCCAGAAUUGUGGCCCAGAAGAUGAGUUUAAUUUAUGCGACUAUCAACGAAAUAUUACAGACACCGAUGAAACGAACUGGCCUGGAGCCACCGCGGGCCACGGAAUUUACCAUGCCAUGUGGCAGCUAUCACUAGCCCUGCUUUUCAAAUCCAUUAUCACAGUCUUCACGUUCGGCAUUAAAGUACCAGCAGGCCUGUUUAUCCCGAGUAUGGCAGUUGGCGCUAUCGUCGGAAGAAUUAUGGGUAUCGGCAUUGAACAACUUGCAGUCAAUAAACCAGGCUGGACGUUCUUUGACUCGUGUAAACCAAACGAACCGUGCAUAAUGCCAGGACUGUACGCUAUGGUGGGGGCAGCAGCCACACUAGGAGGGGUCACUCGAAUGACAGUAUCAUUGGUUGUCAUAAUGUUUGAAUUAACGGGCGGAUUGGAGUAUAUCGUCCCGCUCAUGGUUGCCGUGAUGAUCAGUAAGUGGGUCGGUGAUGCCCUGGUGCAUGAAGGAAUAUAUGAUGGUCACAUUAAGUUAAACGGUUAUCCGUUUCUGGACAGUAAAAAAGAGUUUAUUUACACAACUCUUGCGGCCGAUGUAAUGAGACCAAGACGGUCUGAUCCGCCAUUAUCAUCCCUAACACAGGAGAGUAUGUCAGUUGAGGAGAUAGAAAAUAUAAUCACUGAGACAACGUAUAACUCCUAUCCUGUAAUUGUGUCAGCGGAGUCGCAGAGACUUGUUGGAUUAGUGUACAGGAGAGAUUUAACACGGGCCAUAGCAACGGCGCGUGAGAAUGAAGAAGGCGUGGUCAGCCAAUCAAAAGUAUACUUCUCGCAUCAUCUACCUCGGUACGCACCACCUGGUACCCCAGCACCCCUGAAGCUCGUCAACAUCAUUGAUGCUUGUCCUUUUCAAAUUACGGAUCAGACACCGAUGAGCACCGUGGUUGAGAUGUUUAGGAAGCUUGGUUUGAGGCUGUGUUUAGUUACGCACAAUGGACGAGUUCUUGGAGUUAUAACGAAGAAAGAUGUUCUCCGUCAUAUAGCAGAGAUGGACCAGCAAGAUCCCGGCUCCAUCUUAUUUCACUAAAACAUGAGGGGAGUUAUCAGUAUUAUACUAAUUAGCAUUAUGGUUCAGAGAUUAAUGAUCUUGAUAUGUCAGAAUUUAUGGACAUACAUUAGUUUUUGUUGAAGUGAUUAUGAAAGCUGUAAUUUUUAUAUGAAGGUGGUUGAUCAUUUGCCAUGAUGGAUAUGGAACUACACAUCAUUUACCUUCUGAACAUGACUGAUCAUUGCAAACCAACAUCAUCAUCAACCAAUUCAAAGGUCAUUAUUGUUUUCAACUAACAUCAUUCCCAUCUUCGGAAUUUUUUAACAAAGUUUUCACCAUACAGGAUGUGCGCACCAAAAAAAAGUGAUUCAUUUCUGUCCGAAAUGUUGACUAUUUCUGACAAAUAUUUUAUUUGUAAUCUUAACCAUUGAUUGAUUUACUUUUUUCACUUAUAAUCAUAACAAUCCCAAAAAAAUGGAUGAAAAAAUGUGUCAACCAUAACAAAUGACUCCUAUCGCUGCCUGCUGACUUUAUCGAUAGAAAAAUAUAUUCCACAUCGGUUUGAGACCCCAGCUUCUGUUUCCAUGCCACCACGCUGCAGUUGUAUAAUAAAGAGAUGCUGUUAUUAUGGCGCGAUUAUUUGGAGACACCGACGAGACGCGAACAGCGAUAUAUUUUUACUGCGACUAACAAUCACAAGAAAAUAUCGCGUCAUGAAGCACCCAAAGCGUGCGUCAGUCAUCAUAUUACGUUAAUAAUAUGUCCAAGUUUAAAGUGCAUUCCAAAAUGAAGAUCCUGACUUGUACCAUUUUUGUACUGAAAUAACACAAAUUGGAAUUUUUCAUUACCCAAUUUUGAAAUACCGGAGUUUAAGAUUACUGUAAACGGCUAAAACUAUGGCUCCUUUUGCCAAACAUUCCGCAUUCAAUGUGCUGGACACAUUCAUGGUUGAAUAACUCAUGUACACACUGGAGUUGCCAAUCUAAACCACACCAUAUAGAGUAGUAUUUAAUAAUAAUAAUUGACUUAUAUAGCGCAUAUUGUAGAGAGCUAUAUGCGCUUACAUUAUUACCCCUAGUCAUUGGAUCAAGCAUACAUGGAACACAUACUUAGCUCCUAGGGAGAAUUGCAUAAUGUUGCAGCUGUAAUCAGCUCAUUUUGUGUUUGAAGCUACCUGGUACCCACUUGUACUCUUGGGUGGAGACAGACAACCGUAGGUAAAUUGCCUUGCUUAAGGACACAAACAAAAUACACAGCGAGGAAUUAAAACUCCGACCUCAUGGUUUAGAAGCAGAAAAGCAUCCACUACACCAAACCGCUCCUAAUGUUUUUGAAGCCAUGAUUGCUGCGGGUCGGCGCAACUCAACUUUAACUCGGCCUUUUCGUUAUGUGAAAUGGAUCCAAUACUACUCUGGAAUUAAUACAGGUUAGCAUUGUCAAAACAGUAUAAAAUAAUGUUCGAUCAACAAAUCAUUUUGAUGUGUUUCUUCUAGGAUGUUGCUGAACAGUGACGUUUAGUGGUAAUUUAACACGCAGUGUAUUGAUUUUAGUGAAAACAUUGUAGCGACCGUGUAGCAAUUUUAUGGAAGCAAACUUAAUAGAUUUUCAUUCCAUUAUUAUCUACCUUAAAGGCUCCAGAAGGAAUAAUUAAUUGACUGUAAAUCAUAUUGUAUUUUCAUAUUUUUAAAAUAAUUCCAAAAUAUUUCCAUCAUGUAAUUAUAUAAUUACGUAGUAUAUAAAUGUAUUAUACUUAUGAUUAUAUACUGUUCCAUCAAUAGAGGGUACUGUGCAGGCAGAAGCAGUGCUCUAGGUUCAAAGGUCAAAAUGGCCAUCUCUUUUUCCUUAGCAUUUACGCCAGCUGUACAAGAGGUGGGAUUUCGCGCAUAAUAUGUUCUUUUUACUUUUCUCGGUACCCAUUUAUACUCAAAUGUAGAUAAAGUGUCUUGUCUGGAAAGGUACAAGUGACUUACAAAACAAGAAUUUUGAAUUUUGACCUUGAGGUUGAGCAUUGCACCAAUUGCUUCACCUCAAUAAAAGUGAAGUGUUAGUAUAGAAAAAAUUUAUUUAGGAAGUACAUUUUUUACUUAUAUUUAUUAGUGCUGUAUGUAAUUAUUUUAUUAUUAUUAAUAUUAUAUUAUUAUUAUUAUUGUUAUUAUGAUUAUUGUUAUUAUCAUUAUUAU
rnacentral:misc_RNA from 1 species